rnacentral:lncRNA from 1 species
CUGUCCUGGCAGAAGACCAGCCCAAAUCAGCUCCACCCCCCACCCCCCAAAAAAUGUAAUUACAGGUCUGACUUCUGGGCCCAUCCGAGGGAAAAGUGUUAACGCCCAGGUUCAAUGUGACCCUAAACAUGGAAUCUCUGGACAUUCACUCUGUCAGGCCUCUGAGGACAGUGCUCCCUCCAGACUUGAAAUAAAACCUUAAAAAAGAGUCCUAGCAUACAUUUCCAUGUCUGUGAAACUCUAGACAUGUCAAACUAAUCCAGGUAAGAGACAUCAGAAGGGAGGUGAGCAGGGUUUGAUUGAGAAGGGGCAGGAGGGAAGCUUUUGGAAGGGAAGGAGAUGCUGUCUGUCUGAGCGUUGGCUACAUGGGUGUAACUGCACUUGUCAGAACCCAAACAACUACACACCUAUGAUCUAUUUCUAUAUGUAAAUCAUACUUUGAAUAAUACAUAUGCAGAUGUAUUACAUAUUGCGGCUUCUAUCACACAAAUAUACAUACAAAGGUCUCAGCCCCUCACUGAUUUCUCCAUAGCCGGUGAUCUCCCCAUGUGAAGGUUCGUUCACACCCUUUUCAAGGGUCACAGUGGAGAAAGGGGCCAGAGCAGAUGGGGAAAUGGGCUGUGCACAUCUCACAAACACAUGGCCUCGGCUGGCCGGGUAGGGAGAAGGAAUGUCUGAAUUGAAUCAAUUAGCUGCAGAAAACUUCAGAAAAGAAGUAAGGCCCUUCAUAAAAACAAAGCCCACUCCUUAAUCCCCAAAGGCAAUCCUCUCCCCCAUUCCCAUGGCUAUUCCUCAGUAAACAAAGAAAUCCCUCCUUCCACAUCCACACCUCAAUAUUCAUUAUGAGCUGACGUUAGAGGCUGCAUUCCAGCCUCCCAGAGCGCCCUAAUGACUGGAAACCUAAGUAAGGGCAGACGACUUGCAGGGCUUUCCUUCGGUUUCUCUCCACCUCUCCAUGCCUCUCCCCUUCCCAAAGCAGUCUGUUCUUUCUUCCUUCCUCUCUCUCCCUCUUUCUCUCCUUUUCUUCAAAUUAACGAAUAAGGAAAGCAAGGCAAGCAAAUCAAGGCAGAGACAUCACUAACUCUACUUUGUUCAUUUAUUUUGACAAGUGCAGUUUAAUUUUAAUUAUUUAUGAUAAUACUUCAUAGUAGAAGAGUAAAUGUGCUGGGGUAUAUUUGGUAACAUUAAUGAAGUCUGCCUAAUAGGAACCUUCACUCCAGCACCCCGCCUGGAGAGCUGCCUGCUGGAGAAGUAGGGUGAGGCCACUGGCCUGUGGUAGGGUUUGCAAUUUUUUUGUGGGGGUGGGGGACUUAAUGGGUUUGAGGAUUAGCAAAGGGAAAAUUAACCUGAUUCUAGAGAAGAGGCAAAUACGCAAGCCCAUAAUCGUGUGUCGAUGUGGAUUGUGUGUAUUUAAACACCGAGAGAGCACACUUUGUGAUAAGGAGGCCCAGGCGUGCACACAUGCCACAUGCAUAUUUACACAUGAAUCUCAAAUGUGCAAAUCAGCAGAGGCCUAAAGAAAUUAGGCUCUGGGCAAUUAAAAAUUGAAAUAAAAAAUGGAAAAUGUGAUACACAGAGUUCUAUAUCUCUUCAAAGUACCUUUCUCCUACUUAUGUGCCUCAAGUGGGCAAACAUGGUGAAAAAUGUGGAGGAUCAUAAAAAGGUAGGGGGUUUCUUUAGCUGAUUACUUAGAAAUGCUCCCUUCAACACACAAUGAACCAUGAAAAACGGGUCUCAGUCAAUGCAACGUCAUUUUAAAUGGGACUGAUAUUUUUUUUAUAGCUCCCACUCAACCCUGCCACCAUCCUUAACAUAACUGAUGGUCAUAUAAGUGUGUGAUUUGAUAACGCAGACCUUAUAUACAAGAAUACAUAUACUAUAUACAGAAACAUGUAAUCACUUGCCCCCAACACAUAGAUAUUUGGUAUAUCUCAAGAUACACACUCCAAAGUAUUUACACGAGUAUUUCCUACAAUAAUGAUAGACUUGUCAUGAUACAAUUAAUGCUUAAUUUUUAAAUGUAGAGAAAUAGCUGACCCUUGCUCUUAAAAUAAAUAAAAAGAACCUCAAGACCUCCCUGCUCCUCAUCUCUACCUUGUUGCCAAUGCCCAGGGUGAUUUAGGAACAUUUCGGGAGAUAGGAGAGGGUUAUCUUGAGACCAACUGCACUAUUAGCUAGCCGAUUACUGGAUGAUUCCAGUGGGGGAAAAGCAAGGUCACUUCACGACUAGAGUGUGUCAAAGGUUCAGAGAAGAGGGCUCCUUUCUAGACACCACCAUGUGUGUGUGAGAGAGACAGCGUUAGGAGAACCUGCCUGCACCCAUGAAGUCCCUUGGAACAACUCCCUACCCUCCAAGCGGUGGAAUGUGUUGGCCAUCAGGAAGCGAUCAUCAGCUGGAGGCACCUGGCUCCCAGCUUUCUCGAAUGGCCCCAAGCUCCUCAAGCCUUUCCCCUUAAAGCUGUGGCCUGGCUCUGGCGUGGGAAAGGCAGUUUGGAGCUUUUCACAAAUCCAGUAUCCCCUUGAACCAAAACCAAUUAGCCUGGCCCAAGGUCCUGUCAUUGAGGCCCUGGCCCUCCUUUCAAACCCCUGCGGCUCAAUUGCGGUGAGGGGCCGGCCAGUGAAUGCAGGGACCACUUUAAGUGGUGCUUAAGCCGGACCG